ACAGCCUGAAAAUCGCCUCAGACAUGUCAGUUAUCUGGGGUGAGAUAACUGCCUAAAGAACAGGGAUACAUUAAGCUCAUUGCCUGCUUUUAUAACAGUGGAAUAAGACCUGUGUGUCCACAUUU